UGGGGAAUAUUGGACAAUGGGGGAAACCCUGAUCCAGCAAUGCCGCGUGAGUGAUGAGGGCCUUAGGGUUGUAAAGCUCUUUUACCAGGGAUGAUAAUGACAGUACCUGGAGAAUAAGCUCCGGCUAACUCCGUGCCAGCAGCCGCGGUAAUACGGAGGGAGCUAGCGUUGUUCGGAAUUACUGGGCGUAAAGCGCGCGUAGGCGGUUACUCAAGUCAGGGGUGAAAUCCCGGAGCUCAACUCCGGAACUGCCCUUGAAACUAGGUGACUAGAAUCUUGGAGAGGCGAGUGGAAUUCCGAGUGUAGAGGUGAAAUUCGUAGAUAUUGGGAAGAACACCGGUGGCGAAGGCGGUCACCUGGUCCGCAACUGACGCUGAGGCGCGAAAGCGUGGGGAGCAAACAGGAUUAGAUACCCCCGUAGUCC
rnacentral:rRNA from 1 species